ACUGUAUUUACUUAUUUGUUAUCAAUAUUUGACCAUUUUAAAGGUGUUAAUCCAUUCUUAGCUUUUAAAUUGACCCUACUCACAUCUUUUUCUAGUUAUUUAGUGUUAAUUUCGUUACCAGAUUUCUUUCUCUCUCUUGCCUGGGAACUGUCAAAAUGGUAAAUUCGUUAUUUUAAGGUAUAUUUAUCAUAUUAAGGAACUCAGUUUAUAACAGGUACCCUAUUUUCUAAAGAAAUUACCAGUAUUAUUGGUUAUCAGAGGAAUUUUCUUCAUCGUAAACUAUGAAGACUGGAAUGAAGACAUUUUUUCCAAGGCCUGGGAUAUGCUGUCAGUAGGAUCUCGUCAAUAACAUUUAUGGUAUUAGGUCAGAGAAACCUAUAUAGACGCCUUGGUGAAUCGAAGGUGGAAGUGGCCAUUCAGUUGCUGUGCUGUUUGACAGCAAAGGGAACACACUUAUAUUGAUGUGCAGGGACCUUGCACAAACCAUCGGCUCAUUGGAAUGGAGGAAUGCCAAACAAGGAUCCAUGCUAUGAUACAAGAAGGGAACGAGAAAAUUGGAUGACUGGCUCAAUUCUUUUCUCUUCAAUAAGGAUGGAUCGACAUCAAGAUGUGGAGGAUGGGCUAUCUCUUGGCAGAUAAAGGAAGUGCUUCCUGGGUAGCGGACGAGGCAUUAAAGAUUUACAUAGACGAAGAAGAUAACAGGCGUCCUCCUCAUGACACUGCAGUCAUGAAUUAGAUAAAAGGCUAGAAUGAAUUCAUUCUUCACAACUUUGUCAACUUAAAUUGUUUAGUAGGGGUCUGCUUUCUGCUCCCGUAAAUCAAAAUAUUAGAAUUUUGUCACUUUGACAUUUUACAAAACAUGGCGGCCAUUGCAAAUAAUUUGAGAAAUGAAUGACGCUAAACAGUAGACCCCGAAAAGAAAGUGCAAGACUAAAUCUUUUUCAAAAAAUGUGCUGUUAACGGAAAAUUAUAUUGUUGUUGAAAUUGAGAAUCAUAAAAAAGUCAAAUUAUUGUUUCAAUUCA